rnacentral:rRNA from 1 species
UACGUAGGGUGCGAGCGUUGUCCGGAAUUAUUGGGCAUAAAGAGCUCGUAGGCGGUGUGUCACGUCGUUCGUGAAAACCUGCAGCUUAACUGUGGGCGUGCGGUCGAUACGGGCAUCACUGGAGUUCGGCAGGGGAGACUGGAAUUCCUGGUGUAGCGGUGAAAUGCGCAGAUAUCAGGAGGAACACCGAUGGCGAAGGCAGGUCUCUGGGCCACUACUGACGCUGAGAAGCGAAAGCGUGGGGAGCGAACAGG